rnacentral:rRNA from 1 species
UACGGAGGAUCCAAGCGUUAUCCGGAUUUAUUGGGUUUAAAGGGUGCGUAGGUGGCCUGUUAAGUCAGGGGUGAAAGACGGUAGCUUAACUAUCGCAGUGCCCUUGAUACUGAUGGGCUUGAAUGAACUAGAGGUAGGCGGAAUGUGACAAGUAGCGGUGAAAUGCAUAGAUAUGUCACAGAACACCAAUUGCGAAGGCAGCUUACUAUGGUGUUAUUGACACUGAGGCACGAAAGCGUGGGGAGCGAACAGG